GGAGGGGAAGGGGAAGAGCAGGCGGCAGGAGGAGGCAACAGGAGGAGGAGAUGGAUAAUCAUCAGGAAGUGGGAUUGCCGGAGUGCUUAGGCACAUUCUUGACUUUGGAUUCAUGAAGACCCAGGGCUAUUAUCACUGAUUAAAGGACACGGAUGCAAUCUGUAUUACUGUUUGGUUACCACUGCCAUUUCAAAAGGAUUUUUAUUCCUCUGACAGCCUAACAGAGCUCUGUUUACUGGGUUUUUGCAGAGCCUGGGUUUGAGGACAGAUAGACAGAGACAGAGAGACACUGAGGAGCUACAAAAACAACAUAUCAGUGGAUGUUGAACAGCGUGACCUGUGCUACUCACAUGUCACUCAUACACACAAACAAUCUUCUCACAUGACAGGGAGACCCUCAUGCUGGAAGACAGGAAUGUGCCCGCCAUGAAGCAACAGGACAACCAACAUGCACGUGGAUUUGGGAAAGGCAUCAAAGACCGAGCCAUAUGGGUAAGGUUACCAAAACCACAGGAAGGAAGAAGGAAGGAAGGAGGGAAGAGAGAAAGAAAGAAAGAAAGAAAGAAAGAAAGAAACUACAUAAAAAUAAAAAAUACAGUCCAUUUUACAGUCUACCAGAAAUAAUAGUUAUAAUAGACCACCAUGUGUCUGGUGACGAUUAAGAAAAGUAAUUAGCCAACAAUGAAUGUAGAAUGAGCUCAUUAAGACAAAUGCUUGGAGACGGGGGCUUAUCACAGUCAAAGAAGCACAGGCAGCUUCUCCUUUAUUAAAAAGACUGAAUCAUCCGUCAUACAAAUCUGUUUAAAAUACAAGAAAGCUGUGCAAAGACCUGCUGUGAUCACCAGGCCAUGACAUCAGUUUUAUGAAAGAUGAAGCAACGUACGCGAUGUAGAGCCACGGAUGUCAUUUUUCAUUUCCAGCUGUACAUAACAGGCCUUGCAAACUGGACUGUUUCUCCUCUGUUGGCUAGCAUUCAUUACUGUGACAUCUGAGUGGCCCUGAAUCUGAAAAGGAAUUCCACUCAAUGGGAGCAUGGCCAAUUCAUUUAUCUUUACAACUGAGGCUGAUUAAUACAGAGAAUGCCGAUACUCACUGCUUUUGCACUGCUACACCGCUGUGUCUUGCUGGGGUGCCAACACCAAAUCUUGUUAGCGAUGGUAAAUAGAAAUGUGACACGUCGAAUGGAUGUCUAUAUAUAUCUUAGUCUGGUGAUGAUACUUUUCAUGCAAUGGGGUUAAUAGCACUUAAGGUCGCUACAAAUCUGCUACGUUUAAUAGUCUCAGCUCUGUUAUUAUUCAGUCUGUUACUCUAGAUUCCCCUUUUACUACUUCUUCUGGAAUUAAACUUUGUUCAGAUUUAGUCUUAUGUAAUGUUGUUGUGAAUUUGGCUGGGCACCUGGGGACUUAAAUCAAAUACCCCUUGGUCUCAAUAAAACAGUUCUGUUUGGAGCUUAUCCACAGUAAAACA